ensembl:lncRNA
CCUCCAGUCAGUUGUCUCCCCUCCCCUCUAUCCCUCCAGUCAGUUGUCUCUCCCUCUCCCCUCUAUCCCUCCAGUCAGUUGUCUCCCCCUCCCCUCUAUCCCUCCAGUCAGUUGUCUCUCCCUCUCCCUCUAUCCCUCCAGUCAGUUGUCUCCCCCUCCCCUCUAUCCCUCCAGUCAGUUGUCUCUCUCUCUCCCCUCUAUCCCUCCAGUCAGUUGUGUCCCUCCCCCUCCCUCCCUCUAUCCCUCCAGUCAGUUGUCUCUCCCUCUCCCCUCUAUCCCUCCAGUCAGUUGUCUCCCCCCCCCCCUCUGUCCCUCCAGUCAGUUGUCCUCCCCCUCCCCUCUAUCCCUCCAGUCAGUUGUCUCUCCCUCUCUCCCUCUAUCCCUCCAGUCAGUUGUCUCCCCCUCUCCCCUCUAUCCCUCCAGUCAGUUGUCUCUCCCUCUCCCCUCUAUCCCUCCAGUCAGUUGUCUCUCCCUCUCCCCUCUAUCCCUCCAGUCAGUUGUCUCCCCCUCUCCCCUCUAUCCCUCUAGUCAGUUGUCUCUCCCUCUCACUUGUAUCCUAUUUGUAUCAGAUUAGCCUUCCCAUCUAGCCUGCUCCCAGAUAUGUCUGAGCUCCAUUGCUGUUCAAGCCAAAGUGUCAAUGAGACACAGGGAGCUGGGCAUGAUAACACAAACAGACUGGCAGUCAGGCUACUUCCCACCUGUCUAUGUAUCCCAGUCUCACCCAGGUCUCCACAAGUCUCCCCCAGUCUCUCUCACAAGUCUCUCCCAGUCUCUCUCCCAAGUCUCUCCCAGUCUCUCUCCCAAGUCUCCCCAUGUCUCUCGCCCAAGUAUCCACCAGUCUCUCUCCCAAGUCUCCCCCAGUCUCUCUCCCAAGUCUCCCCCAGUCUCUCUCCCAAGUCUCUCCCAAUCUCUUUCCCAAGUCUCCCCUAGUCUCUCUCCCAGUCUCUCUCCCAGUCUCUCUCCCAGUCUCUCUCCCAGUCUCUCUGCCAAAUCUCCCCCAGUCUCUCUGCCAAGUCUCCCCCAGUCUCUCUCCAAUCUCUCUCCCAGUCUCUCUGCCAAGUCUCCCCCAGUCUCUCUCCCAAGUCUCCCCCAGUCCUACCCCAGUUUUCCACAUAUCCCACCAUGUUCUAGCAAACACCCUCCAGACCUCUCAGCUUGCUUCCUAGCACAAACAUUGAACCUUUCUUUGGCCCAAUAUCGUUCCUGCUACCCACCUACCCCCUCCCCCACCCCCUGUAGCCUGUUCUGUUAACUCACAAACUCACUAGCUAGCCCUAACAUACAGUAGCACCUUCUCUGUCUGUUAUACCUGCCCUGAGAGCCCCAAAGAAUCUCAGAAUUUAUGACAGAUAACUCGAUGAUAUUUUUCUAAUAAUUUUAUUUCCUGUUUUUGAGAUGGUUACUACAGAUUUUUGAUACAGGGGUGCUGGUGUUUACUGCCCUGCCAUAUUGUACUCGUUUAUCACACACGAUGCGACAGGAUCCUCCAAGACACUAUUCAAUUCUUAUAUCCUAUAAAUAAAACAACCACAUGUAUAUUUUACAGCAAUCAAUUUAUCAUUGUGACGAUAGCAGAGGAACAUAGUAAAAAUGAUGGCAUGACUUCGUACAGAUGGCAGUAGUGCUUGCAGUGUGGUGCUUUGAAUAGUUUUGUAAAUCUUCGAGAGGAUGCGGCCAUUAGAGUAGAGCUAGCUUCAAGAUGUGAUGAAUGAAUGAUUGUGAGAAAAAGGGGUAAGAGAAAAUUUGCCACACAGCAUGUGGAAAAAAGGUUGUAAGUUCAGGAGCCUCUGAAAUAGAAAACUCCGUCUGUCCAGAGUGUAUAUAGAAAACAAUUUGCCAUUCUGCUCAUAAUCAUGACUGAGCUAGAUCAGGUAUUUUCUGAAAACACAGAGUUUGCAAAAUAAUUUUAACAUUCCCAAUCAUCUCAGGUUUUCUAGAAAUACUGAUCGGAGGAUUCACAAAUUUCUUCUGAUCCCAGGAAUCUUCCUACCAGGAUUUCCAGAAAUGCUGGGAAUUUAGGGAGUUACUGGGAGAUUUCACGCCAGGAUAGACCAAAAAUAUUUUGGGCUUCUCAGAUUGUUCUUGCAAUUCUCAAAUAAAAACUUAAUUGGAGGAAGGAUGUUUGACAUGCUUUUAUCAUUUGAAUAACUUUUUAGACCUUCAUGCCUCCUGUAAGACCCUAUGACCUGUGACCUGUGACCUGUGAAACGCACUCGAUACAGACAACACCUUGGUGUCAUCAUACUCCUCAUAGUGUGCUGUAGCAUAUAGAGGUUGUCUAGAUUCUGAAAUACAAUUUGUCACAUUCAUUUAUUCAACAUUAAACAUAUGAAUAUCCUUUUAGAUUUUGUUUAUUUUAAGACAUAUUGUUUGGGACAAUAUAAUCACAUUUCCAGAGUGGGCUCUCUGCAAAUGUUUAAGUUCUGCUAUAUUUUAUGAGCAUCAACAACACAGUGAAUGGGAAAAUGUAUUCUGCUGGUGAUUUGCUGAAUGUGCAAUCCUAAAGGAGGGCUGUGAUUGGUUAAUGACCUAUGAUGUCAAAUUCUAUAUAUAAAAUGGGUCAUAUCUUCAAAAGUACCAGAGAGCCACUCUGGAAAUGUCACGUGUUUGAAAAGUAUAUUGUUCCUAACUAUAUGGCUAAAAAUAAUUUUAAUAAAAAUAUAUAAACUUUUGAGAUAUUAACAUGUAUUUUUGUAUGUUUUAGAGCACACAAGGAGUAUAAUGACACAAAGACCAUGUAAGGUUCACAGAUUACAGACAUGUAUAUAUUUUUUAAUGGCCUAUAAUGACCUAUUUCAUCGCUAUUUAAAAAUAAAUUGUGAUACAAAUGUGAAAAGCAUGUGAAGCAUCCGUUCUCCCAAUGAUGUUUCUAUUUGAGAAUUGGCAGAAGAAUCUGAGAUAACAAAAAUCUUGGCAUGGAAUCGCCCUACUAGAAUUUUGCAAGCCUACACAGAACAUUAUGGAAUAUUCAAAUAACACCGUACGCUGGCCUUUUCAUGGUAUUUACCAUGGUCUUUUCAUGCUUCUUAUUUUGUGUAGAUUAAAGGGGAAUUUUUUUAAUAAUUGUGGAAAAAAAUAGGUUGUUGAUAUGAAAAAUAUAAAAAAAGAAGACAUGGAUGGAUGAAUUGAUUGAAAGAAUAUGUUUAUGGAUGGAUUGAUGCUGCCACUGACUGUGGUACAGCACAGCCUGCAUUGGGACAAUAAGCCUACUGCUCCAAACAAGAAACAGAGAGAGAAGGAAACUACAUCUUAGAAAAGCAAGAAGGAACAGGACUUCGAGGACGCAACAACAGCCAGAGAGAGAGACUCACACUAUGGACUAAACUAUCCGUCGGGUGGUAAAAUCUCUGGUUCUCACUAUCACUUAGAAAUAUGUCUCUUUUUAGUACGGUUCCCUAGUUACCAGGUAUUUACUUAUGUAUUCAAAGAGAAUUGAACAAAAUAACUGUGGUAAAAUGGCUGUAAUGAAAAAAAAAAAAUUUUUAAAAGGAAAAUGUUUUAUUUGUUAUAAUUUGCUUCAAUUAUACUUUAUGGUAUGAUAUGGUAUGAUAUGGUAUGAUAUGGUAUGAUAUGGUAUGAUAUGGUAUGAUAUGGUACACCAGGAAUCGUACAUGCAGACAGAGCACAUGAACUCACUUUUCCUUUAAUCAGAAAAAUAUUCAUUUUUUUAACUUCUGCAGUUAUGUUUUUAACCAAUACAACUAUAAGUAGUUCUGUUACUGAAACACUUUUUAUUGUUUUGCAAAAAAUAAAUAAAUAAAAUAUACUAGAAAUGUAUAUUAAAA